rnacentral:lncRNA from 1 species
CAAGAAGAGCAUGGGGGAAACUGUCCCCAUGAUUCAAUUGCCUCCACCUGGUCUCUCCCUUGACACAUGGGGAUUAUGGAGAUUGAAAUUCAAGAUGAGAUUUUGGUGGGGACACAAAGCCUGACUAGAUCACAUUUCAACAAGAUAUUUAAGAAACCCUAAACACUUAGGGAAAGGGAAUUCACAGAGCACCUUGAGGAAACCUAAAGGAAGAAAGAAGCAUGCAGGCUUAAAAGAAAUGCUCCUGCCACUUCUGCCACUGCCCCCCACCAAGCCCACGCAUGCCCCUCAGAGAGGUCAAUAAACUCCAGGAAGGAAAUGGCCGCAUGAGGGGUCCAGACAGAUGGGGCCACAGGCUGAUGCACAGGAAUUCCUUGCCUCAGGUGUGAUAUGGGAGCGACAGUCACCAGGCAUCCCAGCUACAUCCUGUGUGUACUGCUUCUCCCUCGGGAUUUUAAAAUUUGCUCCUAUCUGUCCAAAGACCAAAUGGAUGCCCCCGUGGCCAAUAGUACUUUGUUAAACCCCAUGAUUGUAGCCCAAUGCUAAGGAAGGGGGGAACCCCCCAGGAACAAACAUCAUUAUGUUUCUUAUCUGACUGAACAGAAGUUCAGAGUUAGAAAAUAUGAAAAGGGG